rnacentral:rRNA from 1 species
GAUGAACGCUGGCGGCGUGCCUAAUACAUGCAAGUCGAACGGGGAUUUCAGCAAUGGGAUCCUAGUGGCGAACGGGUGAGUAACGCGUUGGUGACCUGCCCCGAAGAGAGGGAUAACAGACCGAAAGGUUUGCUAAUACCGCAUAAGCUCGAGCUAGUCAGAGAGGCUUGAGGAAAGGCCGAAAGGCGCUUUGGGAGGGGCCUGCGUCCCAUCAGCUAGUUGGCGAGGUAAAAGCUCACCAAGGCGAUGACGGGUAGGGGACCUGAGAGGGUGACCCCCCACAAUGGAACUGAAACACGGUCCAUACACCUACGGGUGGCUG